GUCCGUCCCUCCGUCCGUCCGUCUGCGGCGCGUCCUCCUCCACAAGCCGCCUCAGGGCCGGCGGCGCGCUCCCGUCACCCGCCGCCUCAGAAUCCCAGUGGCCUCAAGGCUAGCAAGUUUGGGUGCUGCCGGUCCAGAAGAUCAGAGAAGGCCAGAGAUGGAGACCCUCCAGAGAGCCUCCUGCCAAUUCCCUGAAGAAACACCUCAUAGAUUGCAGCUGCUAUGAAUAACUAGAUCCUGGCAAAGAAAAGAGAAUCCAAGGGACUUGAUGGCAACUGAGUUUACUGUAAAUGGAACGACGAUGGCUAUCAGAAGAAAACAUUUAGAGGGACGUGGAAUGCUGAGGUCCUUUCCUGGUUACUCCAGGAUGCCUGGAUGACCUAUUGAGGCAUCAUCUUCAUCAUUUUGCUUAAUUCAGCACUGCGGAAGGUAGUACAUCUGAGUAGAACUUUGUUUCUAGUGGUUGCUGCAAUGCAAGGCUUAAGGGGUGGUUAUUGAAUUCCUCUGCUGACAAAUGACUUACUAGUUGAUAAUCAUUAUAGGACAGCAAUUACUUGUUCAGCCUCAGUUUAGAAAUCUGCUAAGUGUCCCCGUUGUUGGCGCCAUUUCCAACUCUCUGCUUCACCCCCACAGAUUUGAAAUUACCAUCAUUGGGGGGCAUUUUGUUUGGAUCUAAUAGCAGUUCAGUGUUUCCUCUUCACAAUAAGUGGUCAUUAGGCUCUAGAAGGAUUCUCAAGUAGUUAAGUUUUAAUAAUCAUAUGGUUCCCUCAUCAUGGGUUUGGUUUUGCUAUUACCAGUAGGUUCUCUGAGGACUGAUAGUCAGGACAUCAAUAUUUUGUAGUAUAACUUUUAUCUGGAAAACUCUUGCUUCCUUUUCUGCUUUGUCUCCUAUAUAAUGACUUUGAACGUCUUAUGAGUUUUCCUCCUGUACUAUUACUCUUUCAAAUAUUAUUAUUUGACUAAGUUCUACUUUAGAGGGGGAAUUAUAUUGAUAACAUUUCUGGAGUAAAAAUGCGCUUAUACCCCUCGACACCACUUUUUAUCAUCUUGGGCACUUUAGAAAUAAUGCUAUAGAAAGCCCAUUCGGUUGGCCGGUGGCACUUCCAUGGCUAAAUUUCAUAAGACAGAUGUCUCAUUCACAGAAAAAUCCUAUUACGUAGAGGAGAAUUUGAUAUUUAAGCUAAAUUCGCUUGUCUAAGGGCUUCUCUUUUUUGCAUUGAAGCUACUAGUGGCUUCAUCAAAAUCAAAUUUAAAGUGGCUGACAUGCGUGAUAAUAAUGAUGACUGCCAUCACUAUCCAUAUUUUGUGGUGUGAUGCUUAAUAGUAAAAACAUAAAAGCUAUUUGUACCUGAGUCUCAAAGUAUACUCAAGUCAGUUCAGCCAGUCCUCCUGAGGGAUUGUCCUAUUUCCAUAAGGAUAGACAGUGAUUAAGGCCACCGCUGGUAGAAACAGGCCAGAAUUUCUGCACAUUUAGCAGGUGAGGUAACUCGCCAUCCUUCCUCAAUUUGUCACCUUAUCCUCCAAGGAGGCAGUGGAUAAAAAAAAAAAACAAAACCCUGUGGACAAAACAAGCAUCACCAGGACACACUACAAUUUGCCGAGCUAUAAGAAAACGAAGAUUCUGGAUGCGGUUUAAUCAUAAAUAAUU